GAUGAGGGGCCCCGGCAAUGGGGAACCGUGAACCUGGUCAGGGGCGAAAGUCAGCAGCCAUAAGCGGCUUACUCAUGUGUCGUGGGCCCCUCAUCGGG
rnacentral:SRP_RNA from 1 species